rnacentral:misc_RNA from 1 species
GUUUAGGGUUUGAUUUUUGCGCAAAUGCUAUGAGUCUAGAUUAUCUAGUUUAAUUUCAAAUUGUUUUGUUGCAAUCAUUUGAUUUUUCCCCCCAUUUCAGCUAGCGUGAGGGAUAAAAUUUUCCUGUUUAUUUCUCUAUUCCUGUGAUUGUGGCUCGGAAAUUGAGAUUUUGGUAUGAGAAUGUUUCCGAAAUGAAAGAGAAAAAAAGGACUAUGGUCUCAUUGGUACUUGUUGACUGGUGUAGGAGAUAACGCAAAGGGG